CCUGUUCUGAAUUGGAAGAUGAAAUUCUUCUGGAAUCUCCUCAUCCUCCAUUGGGCCCAUCUUGUUAGCCCUAGAAGGCUCAUGCAUUUCUCUGCUGAAAUCACAUUGAAUGCCAACAUUUCUUUGACAUUUCUUUGACUUUUCUUAUUAAUUUUGUACCUCUUUCUAGGGACAGUUGUACUGUGCCCUCUAGAGUAUUGAACAUGGCUCCCAAAUAUUUCAUCCUCUGGGUCGGCUGUAAUUGACUUUUUUUCUUGUUUAUCAACCAUCCAUGAAGACGUAGGAAAUGCAUACAGAUUUGGCCAUGGGCCUGAAGGGUAUCUCUGUCUGCUAAUAUAAGGAUGUCGUCUAGGUAAUGGUAAAUGGCUAUGCCCUUCUUCCUGAGUUCUGCAAUUAAGAUGACUAAGACCUUGGAAAAUGUUCUUGGAGCUGUGCUGAGACCGAAUGGCAGGGCCCGGAAUUGAAAAUGCCCUUUUUCUACUGCAAAGCGAAGGAAUCUUUGAUGUUCUAUUGCUAUGGGGAUAUGAAAAUAGGCGUCUGCCAAGUCUAUAGAAAUCAUCCAUUGAUCUGGAAAAACUGUCUUUAUGAUGGAUUGGAUAGACUCCAUCUUGAAUUUCCGGAUGUGUAGGUAUUGAUUUAACUUGCUUAGGUCUAGGAUAGGCCGCCAUCCGCCUGAAGCUUUUUUGGUGAGGAACAGAUGAGAAUAGAACCCUUGACCCUGUAGCUUCCAAGGAACCGGAAUGAUGACUUUUUCUUCCUGGAGUGUGGAGAUGAAUUUCUUCAAAGCUUUUCUUUUUUCUUCCUUUCUUGGCCAUUUUGUUAUUUGAACAGAG